rnacentral:lncRNA from 1 species
CCCUGAACUGUGUAUAAAGACUCCUUCAAAAGCUCUUUCAGCUAGUAAUGUUCCCCUGCCAAAAGAUUAAAAAGUGACAGGACUGUGAAACAUCUAAAAACACUAUGGAAACCUCUCUUAGUUGUAUCAUUUCUAGCUGUCUGACAACAUUUAUAACAUCCUUUGCUCUUUAACAGGUUUAUAGGGUAGCUGUCUGAGUGCCGUUUACAUAUCCAUGUAAUAUGUGCUUCCAUUUUAGCCCAUUGACAGUUUGGCUCAUGAAAUUGAUUCCUUCUUUGUGGAAUUGACUGAUAAAUUUUCCUAACAAUGAGCAGCAGACAGAGCCUGGAGUGAUGGGCAAGAGCCUCAUCCCAUGGUACCCAAACGGAGCAGAGCAGGUAUGCAAAUGGUAACCAGGGCAGCCAAAGUUCCUGACUGCCAGACAAGUCCAUGGUGAUGCACUUGGUCUGAAGCCAAGCUGGGAAGGCAAGUCCGUGGGUCAACUUUCUCACAUGGAUUUUUCCCAGCAGCUUGACCCAAGGUUAUACCCGCACUGUGCUAGAGCUGGUCAUGAGCACCUGUAGCCAAAGCCUUGGAGGAGGGAAGAGGCUGCAAAGCAUGUUGGUGUACUCAGGAGGCUGAAGCUGAGCAGGAAUAGGUCAGGGAUGAAUGGAAGGCCAAGACCACUGGAAAAUUCACAGUGUCUCUAUGUUUUUAUUUGUCUGAAGAUAAUUAGCCUCAGUUGGUCAAUUCAGUCUGUAGUUUAAAAAUAGCCUUGCCUUCUUCUGCCAUGUUAAGUUAUAUAGGUGCCAACAUCAAACUUGUCCUUCAGACAAACUGGCUUCCUGUGGCAUUUUUCAUCAGUUUCAAUAGUUCACCAAGAUACUUGGUGACUCAGGCCAAGGAUAGCUAAAAGAUGUCCUAAAUCUCUAGGUUGAUGAUUUGCUUCUCUGCACAAUGCAACACUCACGAACUUUUCCUGGCAAAGUCUGAGGAUUUGGAAAGAAGUCAUUGGGGAACUAAGGAUCAUUACAAAUCUCAGCAUAUUUUGUUCUUUUAAACCA